GGGUUACCAUGCCCAAACGGCGAGUGUAGCGGCCACAGCUCAAAUUUGAAAUCUGCCGCAAGGCCGAGUUGUAAUUUGUAGAAGAUGCUUUGGGUAUGGCCCCGGUCUAAGUUCGUUGGAACACGACGUCAUAGAGGGUGAGAAUCCCGUAUGUGACUGGGUGCUUUUGCCUAUGUAAAGCUCUUUCGACGAGUCGAGUUGUUUGGGAAUGCAGCUCAAAAUGGGUGGUAUAUUUCAUCUAAAGCUAAAUAUUGGCCAGAGACCGAUAGCGCACAAGUAGAGUGAUCGAAAGAUGAAAAGCACUUUGGAAAGAGAGUUAAACAGUACGUGAAAUUGUUGAAAGGGAAGCGCUUGCAACCAGACUUGCACGCUGUUGAUCAUCCAGGCUUCUGUUUGGUGCACUCGGCAGCGUUCAGGCCAGCAUCGGUUUUGGUGGUGGGAUAAAGGCCUUGGGAAUGUAGCUUCUUUCGGGGAGUGUUAUAGCCCUCGGUGCAAUGCCGCCUACCGGGACCGAGGACCGCGCUUCGCUAGGGAUGCUGGCGUAAUGGUUGUAAGCGACCCGUCUUGAAACACGGACCAAGGAGUCUAACAUCUAUGCGAGUGUUUGGGUGUCAAACCCAUACGCGUAAUUAACGUGAACGGAGGUGAGAACCCUUAAGGGUGCAUCCUCGACCGAUCUGAUGUCUUCGGAUGGAUUUGAGUAAGAACAUAGCUGUUUGGACCCGAAAGAUGGUGAACUAUGCCUGAAUAGGUGGAAGCCAGAGAAACUCUUGGUGGAAGCUCGCACCGGUUCUGACGUGCAAAUCGAUCGUCAAAUUUUGGUAUAGGGGCGAAAGACU
rnacentral:rRNA from 1 species